GGGGGUGAUUGGUUUCGACUUGCAUUGCUCAGAUUUAGGUCGCGUGUCGGGGAAGCUUGGUUGGCCUCGUCAAAAAUCCAAGUACAAAUUAAAUGCUAACGAUCAAACGUUACGUUUCAGCGAUUUCGAACGCGCUGUAGCAAUGACACCUGUUGCCCCUAUGGGUACAGUUGUCGCUCCAGUUGCAUUCGGAAUGGCUGUCUAAGCCUUAGUUACACAGUAACUAAGCCGUUCUACCUGUCAUGUCUGCGGGCGGGAUAGAAUGACACUAGCAGGCUGGUCCCGCCAAAUGUUCUCGGUGGCGGGAUGAGAUCUUAGAGGGCUGGUUCUGUCAGACUUUUGUUGGUAUAGGAUGGCGGAAUGAGAUUAAAAUAUCAACUACACACGUAGAUGCUUAAGUUUCGACCUUCAAGGACCCGGGUUCAAUUCCCGGCACCUCCACCA
rnacentral:tmRNA from 1 species